rnacentral:misc_RNA from 1 species
GUGAAUCAUCGAAUCUUUGAACGCACAUUGCGCCCGCCAGUAUUCUGGCGGGCAUGCCUGUUCGAGCGUCAUUUCAACCCUCAAGCCCCCGGGCUUGGUGUUGGGGAUCGGCACAAGGCGCUGGCACCUCCGGGAGCCGCGCGCGCCCGCCGUCCCCCAAAUCCAGUGGCGGUUCGCGCCGUGUGUACCUCAGCGUAGUAGCAACGACUCGCUCCGGGACCCUCCUGCGAACCACGCCGUAAAACCCCCGACUUUUUUUCUGGUUGACCUCGAAUCAGGUAGGACUACCCGCUGAACUUA